rnacentral:rRNA from 1 species
AGUGAACGCUGGCGGUAGGCCUAACACAUGCAAGUCGAACGGCAGCACAGUAAGAGCUUGCUCUUACGGGUGGCGAGUGGCGGACGGGUGAGGAAUACAUCGGAAUCUACUUUUUCGUGGGGGAUAACGUAGGGAAACUUACGCUAAUACCGCAUGCGACCUACGGGUGAAAGCAGGGGAUCUUCGGACCUUGCGCGAUUAAAUGAGCCGAUGUCGGAUUAGCUAGUUGGCGGGGUAAAGGCCCACCAAGGCGACGAUCCGUAGCUGGUCUGAGAGGAUGAUCAGCCACACUGGAACUGAGACACGGUCCAGACUCCUACGGGAGGCAGCAGUGGGGAAUAUUGGACAAUGGGCGCAAGCCUGAUCCAGCCAUACCGCGUGGGUGAAGAAGGCCUUCGGGUUGUAAAGCCCUUUUGUUGGGAAAGAAAAGCAGCAGGUUAAUACCCCGCUGUUCUGACGGUACCCAAAGAAUGAGCACCGGCUAACUUCGUG